GAUGAACGCUGGCGGCGUGCCUAAUACAUGCAAGUCGAGCGAACGGACGAGAAGCUUGCUUUUCUGAUGUUAGCGGCGGACGGGUGAGUAACACGUGGAUAACCUACCUAUAAGACUGGGAUAACUUCGGGAAACCGGAGCUAAUACCGGAUAAUAUUUUGAACCUCAUGGUUCAUAAGUGAAAGACGGUCUUGCUGUCACUUAUAGAUGGAUCCGCGCUGCAUUAGCUAGUUGGUAAGGUAACGGCUUACCAAGGCAACGAUGCAUAGCCGACCUGAGAGGGUGAUCGGCCACACUGGAACUGAGACACGGUCCAGACUCCUACGGGAGGCAGCAGUAGGGAAUCUUCCGCAAUGGGCGAAAGCCUGACGGAGCAACGCCGCGUGAGUGAUGAAGGUCUUCGGAUCGUAAAACUCUGUUAUUAGGGAAGAACAUAUGUGUAAGUAACUGUGCACAUCUUGACGGUACCUAAUCAGAAAGCCACGGCUAACUACGUG
rnacentral:rRNA from 1 species